CGCUCAUCAUUUCAUCAUAAUGAGGGUGGAAGGAAAACAUAUCCUUGUCGUACUCCUGCUUUGCAUUUUAGCUGAAACAGCUACUUCAGUCUUCAGUACUACAUCUACAAGACCUACAAGACUCUGUAUUACAAGACCGUAGGGAUGAAGUGUGACCCCGGCUGCCAGUGUGUCCAGAGAGUGUCUGUGGGUCCACUUCCGAUACUCUUCCUGUCGUCCAACGCCACGACGUCCAAUGUCACUACGGCCACAUCCACAACCCCGGGCGGAAACUAGUCCGACUAAAAAUCACCACCAACACAUCGUCAUUCCCCGACCUUGUCUCGGAAUAACACGAGUUGGUCACGAAUGUAGUAAUCUCCCAACGUUCCAAGUUCCGUAUCUCGUCAAAUCAAAACCUAACUCGAAAUUCCAACGGUAUCCCACAGUCGUCAUCUUAGGGUAACUUCAGCGAAUUCAAAACGUUGCAACGCCUCAUUACUCGUUCUAGAUGCUCUGACAACCUAUCUUCAACCCUGAGAUCCCUCCACUGGUUACCCAUCAAACAACGCAUUGAAUACAUAAUAUUCUUCUGACUCACAACUGCAUCUAUGAGAACGACAUGUGACUCUAUUUCAAAGACCUCAUUACACUUCACAAACCCUUCCGAUAUUUUCGUUCUGUUGACCAGUUCCUCCUAUUAACUCCACUCAGCAAAAUAAGCAUGGUGACAGAGCUUUCUCUUCUGCAGCUCCCAACCUCUGGAACAGUCUUCCCCUAUCUCUAAGAUAACUAAUGGCAACAACAAACUUCAAAUCAGCUCUAAAAACAUAUCUCUUUCUUCAAGCAUACCUAAACUAUCUUCUUGUAU